rnacentral:tRNA from 1 species
GGCUCAGUGGUCUAGUGGUAUGAUGUAUGUAUCCACCACCACUCACUUCUUCAACAAGUGUCUAACCGUCUUGCAGUGUCGCUUCGGGUUUCCCAUAACCUGGAUUCUUAGAGUCUUCUAUGUGACAGGCCCCGGGUUCGAAUCCCGGCUGAGCCC